rnacentral:rRNA from 1 species
AUUGAACGCUGGCGGCAUGCCUUACACAUGCAAGUCGAACGGCAGCACGGGAGCAAUCCUGGUGGCGAGUGGCGAACGGGUGAGUAAUAUAUCGGAACGUGCCCAGUAGUGGGGGAUAACUGCUCGAAAGAGCAGCUAAUACCGCAUACGACCUGAGGGUGAAAGGGGGGGAUCGCAAGACCUCUCGCUAUUGGAGCGGCCGAUUGCAGAUUAGCUAGUUGGUGGGGUAAAGGCCUACCAAGGCAACGAUCUGUAGUUGGUCGGAGAGGACGACCGGCCACACUGGGACUGAGAACCGGCCCAGACUCCUACGGGAGGCAGCAGUGGGGAAUUUUGGACAAUGGGCGCAAGCCUGAUCCAGCAAUGCCGCGUGCAGGAAGAAGGCCUUCGGGUUGUAAACUGCUUUUGUCAGGGAAGAAAUCCUCUAGGUUAAUACCCUUGGGGGGAUGACGGUACCUGAAGAAUAAGCACCGGCUAACUACGUGCCAGCCGCCGCCGUAAGAC